rnacentral:lncRNA from 1 species
CAAACCUUCAGGUUUUAGUAUAUGAUAUUAGGACUCAUGGAGUGGAAGAAACUUCGUAUUAAGGUUUUGAAUUGUUGAAACACUUUGAAUUGUUGAAACAAGUUAAUGGAAUUUUUAGAGUUAUAGAUAUUAAAGAUACUGUAUUUUUUUAAAACGAUUUAUUUAUUUAUCUAUUCAUGAGAGACACAGAGGGAAGGCAGAGGAAGAUGCAGGCUCCCCUUGGGGAGCCUUGUGGGACUUCAUCCCAGGACCCCGAGGAUCAAGGCAGAAGGCAGACUCUCAACCACUGAGCCACUCAGGCAUCCCUAAAGAUAUUGUAUUUAUUUUUUUCAUUUGACAAAGAGUAUCUGCUCUGGUCCCAAGUCCCUAACCUACCUUCAAGGAGCUUAUAGUAUUGCAUGGAAGUCAUAGAGCAGGCCAAAAUAUAAAGAGAUAAAUAUUAUAGUCAGACACAUGCAUAGAGCCCUGUGGGGGACAGGAAAACUGUAUGUGUAUGAGACUUCAGGGGAGUCAGAGAAGGCUUUUGGAAGAAUGUUUGCUUUAACUGAAUUUUGAAAGCAAGUAGAAAUUAAUUGGUGAGGAUGGAGGAUAAGGUAUUCUAGGCGCAAGAAGGAAGUGAGGCCAAACUGACAGAAACAAAAUGGAUUCUUAAUGUAUUAAGGGGAAGACAGAGAGAUGAAGUUUAAUAUGUAAACAAGGGGCCCAUAAUGAUAGGCCCUCUUUCCUACUGUGUUAAAGAUUUUUAACUUUAUCUUCAAGGCUGUGGUAAUCCAUUGGUAAGAGAUUUUAAGUUGAAGAAAGUUAAGUCAGUUUCAUGUGGCAAGGUGAUGGAUGAAUUGUAGUGCAGCAAGGCCCAUUUGCUUUUUUUUUUUUUAAGCUUUUAUAUAUUUACUUGAGAGAGAGCGGGAGAGAGCAAGCACAGAGGCAGAGGGAGAAGCAGGCUCCCCAGUGAGCAGAGAGCCCCAUGUAGGGCUCCAUCCCAGGACCUUGAGAUCAUGACCUGAGCUGAAGGUAGACACUUAACCAACUGAGCCACCCAAGUGUCCCAGUAAGGCCCAUUUGUGAAAGCAUAAUAUGGUAGAGCUCCAGAUUAGCAGGGGUGUUUGAGAGACUAGGAUGGAUCCAAAGUAUGUGAAGAUGAUGAAAUUGGGUGUCCAGUUUGAUAUGGGGAUAAAGAAAAGGUGGAGUCAAGAUGCCUCCUAGCUUUAUGACUUCCCAAGGUGAGAACCCCCUGAGGAUUAUCAGGUGACUAAGAUGAGUCUUGGAUAUGCCUCUGGGUCACACAGUUGGUGCUGUUCUGUGGGCAGUUGGCUCCAUUGGUCUGGGGAAUGAGGAAAGGAUUUUAUACAAUAUAGAGGUGAGGAUGUUAUCAACAUGUAGGUAAUAGUAGAAACAGUGUAAAUGGUUGUAGAUACCUAAGAGAGUUUGUUGAGUAAGAAAGAAUAAAACAGAAGAGAAGCUCUCGGAAGCACCAUCAUAAGGAAGAUGUACAAUGAAAAACAAUGAGAGGGAACAGCCUAAUGGACAUUGGAGCUCUAGAAGAAAAGGAGAAAGAAAAUUUCAGAGAAUGAAUGGUCAACUGUCAAACACUGGAGACAUUGAAGAGAGAACUCACUAGAAAUUUUAGAGAAGGUCUAUAAGAUAGACAAGAGUCAUUAGUUUAGGAGCACCUGGGUGGCUGAGUUGGUUGUGUCCAACUUUUGAUUUCUGCUCAGGUCAUGAUCUCAGGGUCCUGGAAUAGAGUCCCUAUUGGGCUCUGAGCUCAGCAGGGAGUCUGCUUGAGGAUUCUCUUGCUCUCCCUCUGCCCCUCCCCUCUCCAUGCACUCUCAUAUAAAUAAAUCUUUUAAAAAUAAGAAUUAUUAAUUUGUAAUGUUUUUAGUUCAUGGAAUUGUGUGACUUUCUGUAACAAAAAUCAGUAAAUCCAGAGAUUUUGAAUAGUUGGAAUGAUCUAGUACUUGGACUUUGUUUUGUGCAUGAUAGGAAUGCGUUGGAGCUCAAAGUAUUAGCAAGACGAUGGUUGAAGUGAUGGAAUGUGAGAUUUAGAUGGCAUGGAGGUGGUGAACCAAGCAGGAGGAGGCUGAAUGAUUGAAAGAGAAUAAUUGGUUCAAGGGUGCUUGGCUGGCCCAGUUGGAAGAGCAUGUGACUCUUGAUCUCAGGAUCAUGAGUUCAAGCCCCACGUUGGAUGUAGAGAUUACUAAAAAAUAAAUAAACUUGAAAAAAUAACUGGUUCAAGGGAUUAGACGUUGGGUUGAGGUAAGUAUACAAGUGUAUGUAGGUAUAAGGGAGAUAGCUGAUAGAAGUAUUCUGGACUCAGAGAAGAAUAUUGGAGUUGACAAUUUUAAGAUGCUAAUAGAAUGUAGGGUUUGGCCAUGGAUGUAUAUGGCUAAAAUGGAGUGAUGAGAUAUUCAAGAGCAAUGAGACUGAUGUGUUGAAUGAAUCACUCACCUUAGACAUGGACCCCAGAAAACCGUGGCACUCAGAAUGGAAAAGUAGACUGUGGCUGAAGUUUUCGAUGCCUGUAGAAGUGAUGAGUAUAUAUGAGGUGAAGAUACUUGCAUGACAUGCCCUCAGAGCUAUGGGGGUAAAUGGUAAGGAAAUGUUCUUCUGGGCCUUGGAGCUUAGAAUGAUGAUUGGCUUUUACUGAAGUUGCCACCAAAGGAGAGUAUAGGUUUUGUUAGGCCUAAGAAGUAGAGGGAACACCUAAUGAAGAUGCUGAGCAUCUAAUAAGAAAGUUAGUUGACCAUGGUAUCAAAGUCCAGAAGGAGAGGACAGGCUAGUGUUUACUGAAGAGGAAGGCAGAUUAGGAAGAGAUUAGACUUGGGUGUGAGUAGGGCUGAAGUGUACAGCCAGCUUUGCAGUUACAAAUAGAAGUUUGCAUGUCAGGUUUGGAUGAGGCUUCUUGUCAGCUUUAAUCUAUCAAAUCAUCCUAGUUUCUGUUUAUAGUAGGACAGCAGCUAGAGUAUUCUUUCUAAAUUUAAGAAUAACCUAUGUCUCCAGUGAAUAUUUGUUAUUUGUCAGAGAAGGAGAGGCAAUGGCCUUUUUGAUUUUUAUACUUAUUUUUGAACUUUGGACUUCCAAAAAGUCCAAAAGACUUUUCAUCACAUGUGCCAGCUCUCAUCUCUUGUUAGUAUGCCUGGAAGGUAUGUUGACCAUUUUUAGGUUAGUUCUGGGCUGAGAGGUGUGAAAAAUGCCUUGAUACUGAUGACAGUUGCUGUGAAUGUGAGAGGUGGGCAUACCUGCAUUCCCUCUGAUUUCCCUCCUGUUAUUUUAGGAUCUGGGGUCACGUUAAACAGUUUCUACAUUUCUAAGGACAGCUCCUCACUUAUUCAUAAGAUCCUAUUCCUUUCGCCUACUCAGAGAUUCGGCUCCAUUAAUCUCUCCAGCAAGAUUGUAUUUUCCCUAAUUAUUAGAUUAUUCCCUUCAGUAUGUAAACAUGUUGUUAUUUCUCCUAUCUUAGAAUAAUUACCUAUUGAUGGGAGCGCCUGGGUGGCUCAGUUGGUUAAGCAUCCAAGUCUUGAUCUCAGCUCAGGUCUUGGUCUCAGGGUCAUUGGUUCAAAUCCCACCCAACAUGGAGCCCACCAAAAAAAAAAAAAAAA